UACGUAGGGCGCAAGCGUUGUCCGGAAUUAUUGGGCGUAAAGAGCUCGUAGGCGGCCUGUCGCGUCUGCUGUGAAAUCCCGGGGCUUAACCCCGGGCGUGCAGUGGAUACGGGCUGGCUGGAGGCAGGCAGGGGAGAACGGAAUUCCCGGUGUAGCGGUGAAAUGCGCAGAUAUCGGGAGGAACACCGGUGGCGAAGGCGGUUCUCUGGGCCUGUACUGACGCUGAGGAGCGAAAGCGUGGGGAGCGAACGGG
rnacentral:rRNA from 1 species